AGGAUGAACGCUGGCGGUCUGCUUAACACAUGCAAGUCGAACGGAGUAGCAAUACUUAGUGGCGGACGGGUGAGUAACGCGUGAGAAUCUACCUUCAGGACGGAGACAACAGUUGGAAACGACUGCUAACCCCCGAUGUACUGAAAAGGCAAAUAUUUAUAGCCUGAAGAAGAGCUCGCGUCCGAUUAGCUAGUUGGAGAGGUAAAAGCUCACCAAGGCGACGAUCGGUAGCUGGUCUGAGAGGACGAUCAGCCACACUGGGACUGAGACACGGCCCAGACUCCUACGGGAGGCAGCAGUGGGGAAUUUUCGUCAAUGGGGGGCAACCCUGAACGAGCAACGCCGCGUGCAGGAGAAGGUUUUCGGAUCGUAAACUGCUUUUCUCGGGGAAGAGAACGGACGGUACCCGAGGAAUCAGCCCCGGCUAACGUACGCGCCAGCAGCCGC
rnacentral:rRNA from 1 species